UACAGUUAAAAACAAUUGGCGCGUAUUUUUGCGGCGUGAGAGCGACUGCAGAAAAGUUUAGGCUGUUGCCUCGUGAAGUGACGUCAGAAUGACGUCACAUUGUCGCGGAAGAUUUGUUGUCACCAGCCAUCUUAGCUCAAACUCACUCUGGACAUAAUAUAUUACAAGCAAGUGAUUGUGCAGCAACUGGAACUGGACAGAUGAUCUGUGAAUUCGAUUGAGGUAAGUUAAUUUUUCAAAAAUAGUCUCCUCUUGUUGAUAUGUUUCUGUGCAUGCAGUGCGUCAAAUGAUCUAAAUGUAUCGUAUUAUUCAGAAGUGGCAGGGUUAAGAAUGCAGUUUGCCGGUCAUUUUCACUGAGCGUCAGUGUUGAUAUUAAUAUGAUACACAGAACUUGAUGACAGAGGUGAAGGGGGCCCAAGACUUUUUUCCAUAUUAUUAUUUUAUGGAUACCAAGGGUAAUUGCCAAGGGCAAGCGGUAUAUUUUUGACCAGAAUUCAAUCUGGUGGCGUUUUGUGGCCGUCAUAUUAUGUUCGGGUUUCGUUCGUAAGCGUGUAGAUUUGUAAAUAGGCCUAACUUAUGCAUCGCCUACUGACCGCACUGACAGUUAUCGCCAUUUCUUCUGUGUUAUUUCUGAAAUCAUUACUAUUUAAAGUUUACAUGUACUAAUCUUCUGACUUUGAUUUUUGUGCAACAAUGUGGCUCAUCCAGGCCAUGGGAAAGGUUAAGUAGAUUUCUCUUAUACAGCGAAAAGAGGGAAUCAAAACAAUGGAAGUAUUCAGAUCGACUCUCUGUAGGCUGCUAGUUAUAGCCCUAGUCUAAAGUGAUCAAUGAUGUUAUGAAAAAAAUCGUAUUUUCGGGAAGAGACAGAAACAUACUUGAUGUUUCCGAAAAGGCCUAAUUAGCACUGACUGAAGUAGCCUAAAUGUGGAUCAUCAGGUUGUUGCUGCUGUCUAUAAAGUUUAUCAUAGCAAGGUGCUUAUCAUGUGUAUUUUUAUUAUUUCCGAAAAAAGAAUCAAUUCAUCAUUUUCCGAUAACUAGAUCUAUGUCCGACUCCUUUCUAAUGAAAACGAGCAAAAGUAAAACGAGUCUCUCGUCGCGUGCUAUAACGGGGUGUUUGCGGUAUUGUCCUCUCUGGUGAUGAUAAGCUAGUCGAUAGUCAAAAGUUAAAUAUCACCAUAUAUUGUCAGUGAGUUGGUCAUCGUUUGUUGAUUAUUAAAGUGAGAUAGGUGUAGCCAAUGUGCACCAAUGAAAAAUACAAUGGAAUUGAUAGCAACCAUAUUCUUUCGGUUUUCGAUCUGCAUAUGUUGCCACGUAGGCUACCAUACUACAGAAUUAUAUUUAACGAUAUUUAACUGUAUUAGAUCUAUGUUAAUAAACGUAGUGACAAAUAAAUUUCAAUAAAUAUUUAGAGCUGUUUCAACUUCGUCUGGUAUUGUAUAAGCUAUUGCAUUUUGUUUAUUUCCCCAUGUUUCUAAUCUUUGUAAAUGUUAGAACAUAUAUAACUAUCCUGGCAUAUUAAUAUGGAAAAUAUUAAGGUAGAUCUAAGUAUUAAAAAAAAUCACAGUUUUAAUUAGGAUAAAUACCCCAAAGUGUUAACACUUUUAUCACUUAUUGGUGGGCCAAUUCAUAAUUCAUAUUCAACAUUCUUGCUUCAAAUAUGGGAACUAUUUAUUUUAUUUGGCAAUAUAUAUUUUUCAUUUAUGUACAUAUUUUUCAAAUAAGGUUUUAGAAACUUGGCCAUGAUAUUCACUUGAAUCACUAGUUUGAGUGUACAGCAGAAAGGUAAAGUUACUGCUUUUGAAAAACUACAGUUGAUCUGUUGACUGAUAAAACUAUUUGCCAAUAUUACUAUCAGUUACAUCAUACUCUAUUAGUCUAAGUAAAUGGGAUUUAUCUAUACAGUACUGGUUUAUUUAAGAAUGUGAUACUUUGUUGUUUCUGUUUUUCUUUCAGGUGGAGAAAACAGUAUUGUGGGAGCGUAUUUGUUUAAAGUACAUAUCACUGACAGAAAGUUACCAAGGCAUAAGGAGAGACUGAGGAUACAGUUGAAGAUCAUCCCUGUGACUUUUCAUUUGAGGACUGAAAAGGCUCCCUAGCAACUCAGCCCAUGUUCUGACUUGUCAUUUAACAAAUAAAUAAAGGUCACCUCAACCAGAAUUCUAUUGUCAUUUCGUUUACCUAAUGGAUCUUAGGACAUCAGAUGCAUAGACUAUUCUGUUUGUCACAGUGUUGCUCUCAAUGCUGAAUGUAUGAGGUAAGGCCAAGAAAAUUUAAAUGUUUCAAUUUGUGCAGGGCUUAUUGUUUGAUGGUUUUUAAUUUGCAAAUUCGUGGGAAAAUCCAAUAUCUUUUAAUUGUGUUGAAACAUUUGUGAACAAUUUGCACAUAGCCUUGAAAAUUGUUUUGGAAAAUGAAUAUUAUAUUACCAAAUUGAAAUGUAAUUUAAAACAUUUAGAUUUAUAUCUUGGCCGUAUUUCAAACUCUGCCAAAAGAGAGUGCAUUUCAUUGACUUGCUGUUUCAUGGAUAGGGUUAAAGUGAAUUCAGUUUGCAGAAUGUAUUUCUUGGUACCUGACGUCUUAACUAGAUUGGUACAAACUUUUCAGGCUGCCUGGGAGGUAUUGAGGAAUAAAACAGGCGUUAAUCUACAUGGACAUUGCAACAACGUGCUGCAAUGCCUGUAGUGUCGCCAUAUGUAAACAGUAUGCGAUACCUACGUUGUCGCAACGUAAAAAAUGGACGUUGUGACAACGUCUUGAUUUGGUUGUAUUUUGGUUUACGCACAACGUUGUAGCAACCAAUCUGGGAGUCUACAGAAUUACUUUGUGACAACGUAACAUCACAACGUUGUAGCAACGAAAAGUAAACGUUGUCACAACGUUGUAACAACGUAGAAUUGUUGGCUGGGUACGUUGUCGCGACGUUUUGGUUAAACGUUGUAGCAACGUAAAAAAUGGACGUUGUGACAACGUCUUGAUUUGGUUGUAUUUUGGUUUACGCACAACGUUGUAGCAACCAAUCUGGGAGUCUACAGAAUUACGUUGUGACAACGUAACAUCACAACGUUGUAGCAACGAAAAGUCAACGUUGUCACAACGUUGUCACAACGUAGAAUUGUUUGCUGGGUGGCUGCUUGAUGUGUCACCUACCACAGGGCUACCUUGUAGCUGGCUGCUUGAUGUGUCACCUACCACAGGGCUACCUUGUAGCUGGCUGCUUGAUGUGUCACCUACCACAGGGCUACCUUGUAGCUGGCUGCUUGAUGUAAGUGUCACCUACCACAGGGCUACCUUAUAGCUGGCUGCUUGAUGUGUCACCUACCACAGGGCUACCUUGUAGCUGGCUGCUUGAUGUGUCACCUACCACAGGGCUACCUUGUAGCUGGCUGCUUGAUGUGUCACCUACCACAGGGCUACCUUGUAGCUGGCUGCUUGAUGUAAGUGUCACCUACCACAGGGCUACCUUGUAGCUGGCUGCUUGAUGUGUCACCUACCACAGGGCUUCCUUGUAGCUGGCUGCUUGAUGUGUCACCUACCACAGGGCUACCUUGUAGCUGGCUGCUUGAUGUGUCACCUACCACAGGGCUACCUUGUAGCUGGCUGCUUGAUGUGUCACCUACCACAGGGCUACCUUAUAGCUGGCUGCUUGAUGUGUCACCUACCACAGGGCUACCUUGUAGCUGGCUGCUUGAUGUAAGUUUCACCUACCACAGGGCUACCUUGUAGCUGGCUGCUUGAUGUGUCACCUACCACAGGGCUACCUUGUAGCUGGCUGCUUGAUGUGUCACCUACCACAGGGCUACCUUGUAGCUGGCUGCUUGAUGUAAGUGUCACCUACCACAGGGCUACCUUGUAGCUGGCUGCUUGAUGUGUCACCUACCACAGGGCUACCUUGUAGCUGGCUGCUUGAUGUAAGUUUCACCUACCACAGGGCUACCUUGUAGCUGGCUGCUUGAUGUGUCACCUACCACAGGGCUACCUUGUAGCUGGCUGCUUGAUGUGUCACCUACCACAGGGCUACCUUAUAGCUGGCUGCUUGAUGUGUCACCUACCACAGGGCUACCUUGUAGCUGGCUGCUUGAUGUAAGUGUCACCUACCACAGGGCUACCUUGUAGCUGGCUGCUUGAUGUGUCACCUACCACAGGGCUACCUUGUAGCUGGCUGCUUGAUGUGUCACCUACCACAGGGCUACCUUAUAGCUGGCUGCUUGAUGUAAGUUUCACCUACCACAGGGCUACCUUGUAGCUGGCUGCUUGAUGUGUCACCUACCACAGGGCUACCUUGUAGCUGGCUGCUUGAUGUGUCACCUACCACAGGGCUACCUUGUAGCUGGCUGCUUGAUGUGUCACCUACCACAGGGCUACCUUGUAGCUGGCUGCUUGAUGUGUCACCUACCACAGGGCUACCUUGUAGCUGGCUGCUUGAUGUAAGUUUCACCUACCACAGGGCUACCUUGUAGCUGGCUGCUUGAUGUGUCACCUACCACAGGGCUACCUUGUAGCUGGCUGCUUGAUGUAAGUUUCACCUACCACAGGGCUACCUUGUAGCUGGCUGCUUGAUGUGUCACCUACCACAGGGCUACCUUGUAGCUGGCUGCUUGAUGUGUCACCUACCACAGGGCUACCUUAUAGCUGGCUGCUUGAUGUGUCACCUACCACAGGGCUACCUUGUAGCUGGCUGCUUGAUGUAAGUUUCACCUACCACAGGGCUACCUUGUAGCUGGCUGCUUGAUGUGUCACCUACCACAGGGCUUCCUUGUAGCUGGCUGCUUGAUGUAAGUGUCACCUACCACAGGGCUACCUUGUAGCUGGCUGCUUGAUGUGUCACCUACCACAGGGCUACCUUGUAGCUGGCUGCUUGAUGUGUCACCUACCACAGGGCUACCUUGUAGCUGGCUGCUUGAUGUAAGUGUCACCUACCACAGGGCUACCUUGUAGCUGGCUGCUUGAUGUAAGUGUCACCUACCACAGGGCUACCUUGUAGCUGGCUGCUUGAUGUGUCACCUACCACAGGGCUUCCUUGUAGCUGGCUGCUUGAUGUAAGUUUCACCUACCACAGGGCUACCUUGUAGCUGGCUGCUUGAUGUGUCACCUACCACAGGGCUACCUUGUAGCUGGCUGCUUGAUGUGUCACCUACCACAGGGCUACCUUGUAGCUGGCUGCUUGAUGUGUCACCUACCACAGGGCUACCUUGUAGCUGGCUGCUUGAUGUGUCACCUACCACAGGGCUACCUUAUAGCUGGCUGCUUGAUGUGUCACCUACCACAGGGCUACCUUAUAGCUGGCUGCUUGAUGUGUCACCUACCACAGGGCUACCUUAUAGCUGGCUGCUUGAUGUGUCACCUACCACAGGGCUACCUUGUAGCUGGCUGCUUGAUGUAAGUGUCGCCACCAGUGUUUGUCCCUGCUGAUGACUGAACACUGAAAUCGCUGUACAAUAUUGUGUUGGUUUACUGCUGAGCUAUGUAAUCAUGUGAUACUGAUAUAUAAUUUGAGGGAGGUUUUUAUUGUAAAUAAAUGAAAAACUAUCAAUGUAGAUUUGAUUCUGUGUUUACUCAGAUUCAUUGUACAAUUGCCGUUCAUGAUAACAUGAGAAAAGCCAUUGCUUCUAAAUGAUGUCAUAUCUUUUGUUAUACAUACAGAAAUGUAUUUGUGUGUACAUAUAUAUGCACUUAUGCAUACCUUGGUAUGAAUGUUUUCAAAGUAUUUAUUUCACAGUGUGAAUAUGAGUUUUAGGCUUCCAGAUUAUUCAGGUAGUGACAGAAGUAUAUUCCCCUUACACUAUAUUAUAAUAAUUAGCAUUUCUAGUGGUACAUAAUGUAUGGCAACCAGCGUAUUGGUCAGGCUUGGUUGAUGAAUGUCAUGUCAUGUGGAUUGUCUCCUCCAGACUCGAUUAUUUACUGACCGGCACCAUGGAAUAUUGCGGAGUGUGCAUGUAAUAUUAAACAACAAAUAAACAUAAUACACUUUAACUAAAACACAACUCAUAGACCUUGCUUUUCAAUCAUUUCAGGUUUCACAUCCUUGAAAUGUACCCAUGACAACCAGCAGAGAAUAUUAUGUGUCAUAUUGAGAGAUGGAUUGUGGUGUGGUAGGGUUUUCAAAAUGGUGUAUGUGUUUCAGAUAGGAUCAUUAUUAAGUUACUGUGUGUUCAUUCUUUCCAGGAACUUUACAGUAAUGUCAAUACAGACUUUUUGUGUGAAAUAAAUAUUUCUACGUUA